rnacentral:rRNA from 1 species
UACGGAGGGUGCAAGCGUUAUCCGGAUUCACUGGGUUUAAAGGGUGCGUAGGUGGGCUUGUAAGUCAGUGGUGAAAUCUCCGUGCUUAACAUGGAAACUGCCAUUGAUACUAUAGGUCUUGAAUUUUCUGGAGGUUAGCGGAAUAUGUCAUGUAGCGGUGAAAUGCUUAGAUAUGACAUAGAACACCAAUUGCGAAGGCAGCUAGCUACAGGGAUAUUGACACUGAGGCACGAAAGCGUGGGGAUCAAACAGG